rnacentral:snoRNA from 1 species
GAAGCAGGAUAAGUGUGUAUCGUGCUAUGCCUGUUCAUGCAUUUCUAGCCGAAAGUGUUUCCUGCUAUAGAAAUAUUGGGGAAGUGGCAGUUGGGCUUGCACGCUAAUUGUAUGGCUAUCUCAACAAUCAUUUUCCUCACAUGC